rnacentral:tRNA from 1 species
UGAUAGAUGUCUGAGCAGUUGAAAGAGUCGGUUUUGAAAAUCAAAUUAUUUUUAAAAAUACAAGAGUUCAAAUCCCUCUCUAUCUG